rnacentral:rRNA from 1 species
AACGAACGCUGACGGCGCGUCUUAAGCAUGCAAGUCGAACGGUAAGGGAGAGCUUGCUCUCCCCUAGAGUGGCGGACUGGUGAGUAACGCGUGGGUGACCUGCCCUGAAGAUGGGGAUAGCUAGUAGAAAUAUUAGAUAAUACCGAAUAAGCUCAUUUACAUAAAGGUAGAUGAGGAAAGGAGCUACGGCUCCGCUUUAGGAUGGGCCCGCGUCCCAUUAGCUAGUUGGUGAGGUAAAGGCUCACCAAGGCAACGAUGGGUAUCCGGCCUGAGAGGGUGAACGGACACAUUGGGACUGAGAUACGGCCCAAACUCCUACGGGAGGCAGCAGCUAAGAAUCUUCCGCAAUGGACGAAAGUCUGACGGAGCGACGCCGUGUGAAUGAAGAAGGCCGAAAGGUUGUAAAAUUCUUUUGCAGAUGAAGAAUAAGAAGAAGAGGGAAUGCUUCUUUGAUGACGGUAAUCAUGCGAAUAAGCCCCGGCUAAUUACGUGCCAGCAGCCGCGGUAACACGUAAGGGGCGAGCGUUGUUCGGAAUUAUUGGGCGUAAAGGGUAUGUAGGCGGUUAGGUAAGCCUGGUGUGAAAUCUACGAGCUCAACUCGUAAACUGCAUUGGGUACUGCUUGACUUGAAUCACGGAGGGGAAACCGGAAUUCCAAGUGUAGGGGUGGAAUCUGUAGAUAUUUGGAAGAACACCGGUGGCGAAGGCGGGUUUCUGGCCGAUGAUUGACGCUGAUAUACGAAGGUGCGGGGAGCAAACAGG